rnacentral:rRNA from 1 species
AUGUUGCCGCCGGCGACGCUGUUCGCGGUGGGGUUCAUGCUCUGCCCGUUCCCCGCCUUGGUGCCGUCCGGCCGUAACCUCACCGCGCUGCUGCCGGAGCUCUGCGACCUCCUCGGCUCCCUCUACUGCCACGUCCGGGACGACCUCGUCCUGCCGCUCACCGUCGCGGUCACGGCCCCCCGCCGGCGCCCACGGUGGCGCUCUUCGAGAUACCGAUGA